rnacentral:lncRNA from 1 species
CGCGGGCGGAGAUGGCGUCCUGCGGCGGCGGCGGGCCGGGGCGCGCGACGCGCAUGCGCGGCGGUCAGCCUCCCGGCGCCAUUUUAUGUGAGGCGCUUUCCCAUUUUAGGCCGCGGCAGGGAGGCGGCGGGAGUGGUCGGCGGUUCUCCUGCGGGGGGUUGGGGCGGGGAGCCGCGGGGCUGAGCCCUGGCAGCGGACCCUCACGGAGGCGGCAGGCCUGGCGGCAAGCCCCUUCCAGUGCUCCGAGGAGGCAGCGCGAUGUUUCGUCUUCGUAGCCCCUCGAGUGAUGGCGGUGACGGUCGCUCCCGCUCGGCCGCGAUGGCGGAGCGCGCCCGGCCGGCCCCGGAAGUGAAGCGGUGACGGAGGGUCCCUCUGGCGGCGCUCGGCGGAACCGCUCGGGCCGGGAAGGCGCUGAGGCGGCUCGUUGGGCAUCAGGUAGGGGCCGCGGGGCCGCCUUCCCGCGGUGCUGCGGGGAUCGGUCAGUCAGUCAGCACGGAGGGGGUCGGGGCCGGCGGUGAGGUAACGCCGCGGGAGGCGGAGAGGCCCCGGCCCUUCUGUGGGCGCCCUCCGGAACUGUGCUGUUCGGCGGCGCCCCCGAAGCGCUCGGUGCUCACAGGCAGCGCUGAUGCUGUUAUGAAGCCAUCUGGGGCUUCAGCUGUGGUUACGCUUCUUGGCUUCGUAUGUAAACCUUAGUCUGUGUUUAAGCGCUGUGCAGCUUCGUUGUUUUUCCUCAGAGUAAUUAAAACCUGAUUUCAUUAGCUCAUUUUCAGCUACAGAAUGCGUUUUUCAUUUACUUAUCCUUGCACUGAAAGGACCUGUGGAUGUGGUUUUGAAGUUUUUGUGAGAAAUAAAGGGCUGCCUGAGUUUGUAAGUUAAAUCUCACCUCAAGCUUGUGUUCUUUGUGACUAAAUUUGGUGCUCUAGGAAGUGGUGUGCAAAGGGACAGCUGUAGGGAUUUUAUUGAGGUAAUAGCAUAGAUAAGCUGUAGUAAAGUUAAUGCAUGCCAAUAAUGCUUAGUGUUGACUACAGGACACCUCUAACACGUUUGGAGGUGUAGCACAGGGCACGCAGCACAGCUGUAGCAUUCUGGUGUUUGGAUCUCUUCUGUCAAUAGAAAGAUGUAUACAACAUAUAUAUAUAUAUAAAGGUUUGGGAUGCUCGUUUGAUUGCUGAUGUAACUUCUGUGUUGUAGUCGAUGCAGUGGAUAAACAGAAGAAGAAAUGCUGUAGUGUACAUUCAAGUUAGUAAAGUAAGUUAGUAAAACUUAGAAUCAUAGAAUCACGAGGUUGGAAAGGACCUACAAGGUCAUCUAGUCCAACCGUCCCCCCCAUUAUCGUUACUAUCAUGAGCCACUAAACCAUAUUUUGUUGCUCCUCUUCAGAAGUUCAAGAAGUUUGCUUUGAAUGUCAAGUUAUGGUAUCUGUGUGGCGUGUAAGAGUUGAAUGAUUCUAUGGUUUUGGAGGGACCGUUUGUAUCUCUGUGUAAAAUAGAGUACUGCUCAAUAAAUAAGAGUUCCUGACAAAACUAACCAGUCUUGUUUCUGAUUUCUAGCAGAAAAAUUCUGUCCAUCUGGGCGUAGCUGUUCUUGGCACAGGAAGUUCUUGGCACAUCGCUCAUCUAACUACUAUGAGCAAAAGGAUUAUGUUUUUCUGCAUAGUAAGUCAGCAGGAGAGGUGACUUGUUCUUUUAUGGCGUUUAAAGUACCUAAGAAUGUCAAGCUAAGCAGCACCCCGAGUAGCGUAAACAUUCACACACAACUUGGGCAUGAUGUGUGCUGUAAUGGAAUGAAAGAGCUGUACUCCUGGCAAGGCAGGGACUACUUCUAAUUUUGGUUUAAACUAACUUUUCAUUGAAACGUGAACUUCAGAACUCAGGGUUGCACUGUGAUACUGAAUCACUGCAUGUCAGUGUUAAAUAUCUGAGCAUUAAAUGUACAUUGUCUGUAUCAGAUCCUUGCAGCUGUGCUUCUUCCUUCACAGUGUGAUCUCUUAUAGGGAAAUGUUUGUCACGAGGGGGGGAAGAGCAGCAGAACUCCCUGUUGGAAACCACUCUGUCAUGAACCACUCUGUCAUCUUUACAAAACUAACAUUCAAUACUAAGUUAUGAGACAAACAUUCCUGAAAUAUUAACUACUGUAAUUCUUGUUCUAACAUGGAGCUCUGUGUGUAAUGAAAUACUGUGUUACUUUGUCAGGCUUCAGGAGUUCAGGAGACUUCAUGCUGCUUUUAUUUCCUGUUUCUAAUGUUUACUUCUGCCUCUUCAGACGUUCUUCCCCUUGCUGUUUCUAUUCUGCCAGUAAAUAUGGAAUCUGUUUCCAGUGGCUGAGCAAACAUCUGCAUGUAGAAUCUGCUUGUAUGGAGCUGCUGUUUCUGUACAAAUGAACAUCAGGUGUGUGCUUGCUAUGGAACUUUACUAUCUCACUCUGCAGUCUGCUCAUUGCAGUGUGUCAGGUGGUUGUGAAGUCUUUAGUACUCCAGUGUGAAGGGGAAAAAACAACGAAACCCAAGAAAUGUGGAGUUGACAACAGAAAGUUUGGUCAGUAACAGUGCGAUUAUAAAAAUGAAAGGCUAAACCUUCCUUCCUACUCAGUGCUUUACUGCUGAGUCUCAGCAGUAAGUUCCUUUGUGUUAUUUAUUUAUAUAUAAAUAGAGGUAGCAAUAAAAAGUGUGUAUUUAAAAAGAAACAGAAACCAUCCCGCUUAGUGCUUACUUCCCCCAGCACUGUCAUCGUAUCCCAGUCCUUGUGUUCAGAAAAAUGGAUGCUGUUAUUGAACAUAACUGCGUGCUGCUUCUGGCACUUCCUGGAGUGUUGCUGGAGGAAGUGUAGCAACCCUUAAGAAACUGAGUUAGUGCGUUUUUCUUCCCUGAAUUUUACUAGUAGCUUCGUAAACCAGGUAUGGGUAUGUUUUGCAGCAGUGCAGUAAUGCAUAUUUAUAAUGUAGUGCUUUGCAUGAGGAGAACCAAGCUUCCCGUUAGCUCUGCACGUGACAGUAGUGCUCACUCUGCAGUUGCUUCUUCCACUAACACAAGUGAAAUGAUGCAUGCUUAGCUUGUCUGAGUAGCUCUUGGUGGUGGUUUUGGAGAACUCCAGGGAGGAGCAGUCCUCCUCUUACUGAAUAGAUGAUGUCCAGUCCAACUGCACUUCCUAACUACAGCUCUGUGUGCUUUAAGACAUGUGCAGGAACAGCAGGGCAUCAACUGAUCUGUUAUUAGCAGCCUCGUAUGAGAGGUUUUAGUUCUCAGCUGAUAGAACUGCUGCUCUCAUCCUAGCCUGUGUUAGCCCAGGGGAGGUGUUUUGCUAUUUGCCAUGCCUUCUUUUAAUUCCAGCCAUAAAACAUUCUCUUUUUGUUAAGAUUGAUAUGGUAUUCUCACGGUUGGGCAUAAUGAGAGCUGUAUUCAAAGAGACUUAUUUUUAUUUUUCCUGGUAUGGAAUUUUCUGUUAUGAGAGCAGCUGUUGAAGGGUGCCCGUUGCUGGAGUUGACCCAACACUGGAUUUUAAAGCCAGUUUUUGCAUACUUCGUUGUGUGCUGUUAAAGCAUCUGAAUCUAAAAGUUUGCCUAGCAAAGGCUCUAAUUACAGAUCCGUUUAGUUUCCUGUAUUACUUGUCAUGACCACACAUUCCCCUUGAUGACAACGGUGAGGCUGUUACAACUAUAUGAGGGAAGUGGGUGCAAAUCUUUUGUCCUCGCUGUGCUGCUGGAAAGCAGCAGUGUGGGACUACAGAAGCUAUAGUUCAGUAUUUGCAGUUUCAGUGUGUGGUGAAAGAUUUUGACUGCUGUUAUCCUGCAGGAAACCUGUGAUACCAGAUCAGGUGUACACAUAGACUGAGUGGGUGUCCAAUGCUGUUCCUAUCUAAGGUGCUCACUGAUGCCAAGUGGAUAACUAAAACGAGUUGUUUCUUUUUUUGAGAAAGCAACUUCAGUUGGAUUAUUGUCUCAGUACUCGUGUUAGAAGAUCCAGAGCAGUGGGGUUUCUAUUGUGUUCUUAAGCUAAUGGUCUGAGUGAUUUCUGGUGGGCAACCUGUAGAGUCUUUGCUUAUGCUAAAUUAUGCUGGUAUCUUGGAAGGCUUUUUUUCCUUCAUAAUACUUCCUCUUGCAGAAGUAGCUACAUUUUAAAAGUAUGAAAGGCAAUGUAGAGCCACGUUUCCAUAUACACUGGAUUUCAGAGACACUGACAACUGGCUUGCUCAUUGGAUUUUUACUAAGGUGCGUAUUUCCCCAUUUGUAGAGAAAGAAAAUACUGUUCUAAUGGUGAUGCUGAGUCUUUGGACAUGGGUUGCCCACCAGCACAGCUGUCACUUUCAAGCUUGUCAGUGCUGAUAAGGUGUUAAUUAAUAUCAUGGAUGGUCAAGAGGUGCAGGUUGUAGAGCAGCAUCACCCAGCUGAAUGUGGGCAGAGAUUGAGCCUGCUGAAAGCAGUGUGUGUGCCACUAUUAGCAUGCAGCCCAGCACAAGGUAGCAAAACUACUUCUGCAAGCAAGGAUUUUCAGCAAAAGAAAACUUGUGAGGGCAGUAGUUACGUUCUUUCUUCUAGGGCUUUUACUUGUCUAAAUUACUUCAAUCACUUACAGUUAAUUUACUUUUCAGCCUCAGCCAACGAGACUGCAGUUCAUCAGUAUUGAUUAUUUUUGAAGGCAUUAAUGCCCUCAGUCUAAUGAUUUAAAUGUUAGUAGCUAUAAACAGCCACCGUUAGCAAGAACGUACAGCUUAGCUGGUGACUGCAUCCUAACUCUUUCCUACUUUUAAGCCUUCUUUUCAAACUUACUUUUUAUUUCUGUAUUUUGUUUGCUGGCUGUUAUUACAGGUAGUGAAUUCCCUGCCCACGUGGGAAGUAGCUGACCAGCUGGCACUGUUAGCAUCCAGGCUGUCAAUUAGUUGCAAGCCUGCACUGCUCCCAGGAGGUUUGUAUUUUCAGGGAUGUGGUGUUUUUUUUUCCUGUUAGGAGUUGCAGAUCAUCUGUGUGGUGCAGUACUGCUACAGCUGCACUGCAAACAGAGCCACUGUUAUAAGCUGUGUUCUAUCGAUUUCCAGAACGAAACAGCAAGUCUUCCUAGCAAGUUUUAACUGUUCUGAUUCAAUGAAAGGCAUCUUUUAUCAGGGGGCAGCAGUUUCUUCCUUGCAGGCAGCAAAACGGGGUGACAAACUGGUAUGGGAGUAUUGUUCCAACUCUAAUUUGGCUGGGGAAUGUAGUUGCUUGUUAAACUGACUCUCCUACUGGAAACACAUGAAGCUAUGCUUUGAUUCCACUUCCCGACACAGUAUUUCAGAUUUCUGCUAUUCCUGGAACAUAUAGGAAUGAAUCUGGGGAAAAACAGCUUCCAAAAGUUGUGCUCUUUGUGGAGUGUAGAUACACAGAGCACAACUUCAGUUCUCAUUCUAUGUAAGCACACUGCUGAAGUCAUCUAAUGUUGCUGGAACCUGUUAAUGUGUCUCAGUCUUGCCCCAAAUGACAGCAGCAGAUUCCUGCUUUUCUAAAGAUCUUGCAGAAAGGACAUGUUGUACUUUCAAUUUUUUUUUCUGGUUUUAAUGUAGGAAUUGCUGGAUUUUUUUGGUAGGUGUUUGGGAUGGAUCGGCUUCUGUGUGCAUUUACUACAACUUAACCUCCUGUUAGCAUAAUCUGUGCUAAUCUGAGUGGUUUUUGGACUCGCAGGCUGUACAUGUCAUAAAAUGUGGUCUAAUUUUAUGCACAAGUAAACCACCCCAUAUUUGAUCUAAUCUUUUUAUUUGGCUUGUCUUACCAUGUCAAUUAAAAAGGUAUCUUUUGUGGAUAGUUCUUAGUUUACCUUUAGGAGAAACUUCAGGGGAUUUAACUUUUCCCUCUAUCUGAUGACAUGCAUGUGUUUGGACUACAAACUAUGCAAGGCUGCUGUCUGCUUUAUUCUAGUUGUCCAUUUUUGGUUUGCACAGCAAUCCUGAGAACCAUUUUUAAACAACAGCUUCAGAGUCCUUUAAUAGCUAGCAGUAUGCUGAAGAUGAAAGAAUGCUGCAUCUGGAAAUGAGAGACUUACUUUGAGCUCGGUUGUAGAUCCUGUGUUCUCAAAUACUGUCAUGCAUUUCCUAGCCAGACAGUAAGGCUCCACCCUUACCUUUUCUAUAGCCUGUUCCCUGCAACUCUGUGCCCUUGGAAAUAAGGGAUGGCAAGCUCAUCUAGUAGGGAAAGGUAGAGGCAGUAAAUGUCUCCAAAUAUCUGUCCUUUGUUAGGUAAAGGUAACUUCAUGCAUGUAACUUGAAAAACUGGUGUGUGGAGUAAAAACUGGUCAUCCUUUUAGAGCUGUGCAACAGGAAUAGAAGGAGGGGGAACAAACAGUCUCUUUGCUGUGUUUUUGGUGGUGGUAUGCACUCAAAAUCCUAUUUUUAUCUUCAGUCCUGAAAUUCUGCACUCUGGGGUUAUGAUUAUCAUUCAACAAUAUAUGUUAAGCAGUUCACUGUUUUCUGUACCCUUCUCUUGUUAACAGUUAAAUCUUAAGGAAAAGCACCAAUAUGUGCAGUUAUAUCAAAGCCCCUUUUUUAGAGAUGACCAGGGCUGCACAGCCAAAUAGCAUCUCAAGUGUUAUUGCACCCACAUGGGCAGUGGAACUUGCAGAGAAGGGAGGCUUUUAACCUUAGGCCAUCAUGCUAUUUUUGGUGAUGAGAAGUGAUAAAUGACUUAUGCCUGGCAUUGCUUAGAUCUGCUUGGAAUUCAUUGUUUGAGCUGCUUCCUUUCUGAGUCAGCACCAACUACAGAUGAGUAGUAUUUAUUGUGGAGCUAUCCUUACAUCUAUCUGUCAUACCAGAAACCUUAUGUGUGUGUUACUUGUCAUAUUCUAACAGCUCAAUCUUAACAUAAUUUUAUCAGUAGUAACAUAACUUUGAAUGAAGAUAUUAUCCAAAAUCCUGUAAAAACAGUGCAGUCUGUGGAAAUGGAUUACUCUGAUGCUGCAGUUUAAAUGUGAUUUGUUUUUUGACCACUGCAAGUAGAGCUGCAAGUUCCCAAAGUAGUCAUGGAGACAAAUGUAAACUAGAUAUGGGAGUAUUGUUAGAUUUGUCACCUGAGGCUCACCUUAGUCCCCUUAAUUUUCUGGAACAACACCUCUGUGUGUGGACAUAGUGAGUAAAUAAUUGUAACAGGGAACGUGGCAUACCUGGCUGUACAUCACAUCAGAGCAGUGACUCAGCAGCUGCUGAGUAACUAUCAGCAGGUGAGCGAGACCUGGAGAGGAAUGAUUCCUCUACAUUCUACCCUUCUUUGUUGUUGGAUCUGUGUAUUUCUAAUCCUUUCUGUGGUGGAAGGAUGGCUUUAAGCUAAGAGGUAAACAAUUGUAUAGACCAGCUUUCUUCCAGUGUUCCAUUAGAGCAUGUACUUUGGGUCUCAAGCAAUGGUAUUUGCCUUUAAUACUUUGAAGUUUUAUUCCAGCACAGCAAGAACUACAGUUGUGCAUUCCAAGUGGGUAUGUGACUUUCUGUUCUAUUACGUAUUCCCAUAAAUGGCCAGAGCCCAGACUAAGUAGGUUACUUGUUAAGCCAGAAGCAAGAAAUGCUGCCAUGGUAAGGGCUAAUUAUGCCUUUCUGGUAUCUUCAAAACUAAAACCUCCCAGUACUCUUGGCAGAAAUAAUAAAAAUGAAUGUUAAGAAUCACCUCUUGCUGAAAUCAGAGAUUCAGAAACUUUCUGCCUUGCUAAGGGCAUGUUUGUUAUCCUUGCAAUAUACUUUUGCAUUUCAAUGUUAAACUCAACUUAAAAACAACCAUUUCCAGGCCAACCAUAGAAGCUCCCUUCUUCAGAGAAGGGCAUCCAAGCCCUAUUUCUGCAGGCAGGCACUGCUGGUUUAACUGGCUCUGGGAGCUUUUGGAGGCCACUCUUAGACUGCUGGUUUUGGUCUAUUGAGUUUAUCACUGAGCCUGCAACUGUUCCAAUCAGCUCUGAAUAGAGGCAUAGUCACCUGGUGUGUUAAAAGGUGGGAGUAUGUGGCUACUUUGCUUUAGGUAACAGCUCUUCCAGGCCUUCUGUGCUGCAGAGGCUGAAUGUGUGUACUUUCUCAGGCAUGCCCUGGGUGUGAAGCUGCAGGAGGCUGAUGGAAGCUUUCCGAUCAACAGCUGACCCAGUACCUCUGACACCUAGAUACUGUUUAAGCCUGAAGUGUAAGGAAGUAUCUAGAAUUACAGCUAGACUUGCCCUUCUCUCUUAACCCAGUAACAUAACUUGUAAGACUGUUACAUUUCCUGUACCCAGUCCUAAAUGGAAGGAUUAGAAAAGUAUAGCUGCUUUAGAAGGACAACUCCUUAUUGUCACUUAGCAGUUUAUCAGCAAGGUUUCAGGUUUGGAAUCAAGGAGUCAUGUUGUUGCAUUAAAGCAAGUGGAAGAUCAGUCCUCAGCUUUAGGCUGCAAUUAGAUUACUAACUGGCUUUUACUGACUCAGUAGAGCUGAAUUGGCAAUAAGCUUCAGUAGUAAAUUCAGACUGAAUGCAACACAAAACUAAAGCCUGACUCAGGUACCAUUGCUAUACUGUUGCCUCAGGGGACAGCACUCAAGGAAGCUGUUCAUCAGUCAUGAUUAAUCUUACUUCAGGGAGGCCUGAUAGAGUUGUAGCAGUUUGACAGCUGUGCUUAGCUGGAAAGGCAAGAGUUCCAUGUGGCCUGACUCUAGCCCAGGCUUAAGCCUGAGUCAGUCAUUAAGCACUGACAGAGACCCAUUUAUCUCAAUUUCCUUUGCUUUGCCACCAAGAAGAAACAGAACCUGUAUCCUAUAAUCUCAUUAGGAAAGAGACUGCAGAAGUAUGGGAGCUUUUUUAAAAAGUAAAAAAAAACAUUAAAACUAAAGAGAGGGAGUGUUUUUUCUUUAAGGGCUGCUCAUUACUAAUAAUAUGCAUUACUAAAGCAAUUGGUUUGUUAAGAAAGCAUGCAGUUCAGACUAAAGAUGCCCAUUAGAAUUUUAGUUAUGUGCAAAGACCUCCAUUUUGAGUCUGAACUGACAGACAGAUGAGUUUGGUACCUCAAGUUUCAAGAUUUGUAAGUGACUUAGGCUAAAUGCUGUCUGUUUUCCUAAGAGCUGUGAAAAGAAACCAUGAAAGAUUCUUUUUAGCUCCUAGGAAGGUCAGCAAUGGAUUCACAACUGAUUUACAGAACUACAGCAGAGAAGCUGUUAAUAAAUGUAAAGCUGAGAUGUGUUAAGCUAUAUUACUGGAGUGAAAAACAGCAAAAAGUAAACAGUUCAGCUCUGCAAGUUAAUUCCAAGUAGUCCUUGUGUUACUUUUCAUUAAUCCUAUUCUGGGCUUAAUACUCCAAAUUAAAGAGUUUUCCUGGAGGCUGGUUGAAGUUGUCAGCUGCAUGUAUCACACUAAGUUGUAAAGGAGCUGGCUAUCUACUCUGCCCAGAAUUGGAAACUGCCACUGUGACAAGUGAGAAUAAGGACAGUGGCUGGUUAAUCCAGGAUCAGCUGUAAACAAGAGACCUGUCAGAGCCCUAAGCAGCUGGCUUGGCUGUGUCUAGCUUGGCUCAAAACUUCUGCUGUAGUAAGCAGCAGCUACACUAGAAUGAUCACACCUUCAGUGACUGCUUUGAUAUAUAGUACAGUUUAGAAUACAGGUGCAUUCUUGAUAAUGUCAAUCCUACCUUAUUUUGAAAUAAAAGCUAACAGACAGUAAAAUGGAAAAUUUAUUAGUGCAAGUUGGUCACUCAGUUUUUUCCAGCAAGUACAGAGGAGAUCCCAUGGUUAAUACGCUAUAAACAAACCUGUACUAAGUCAAACUUGUCUUGUAGUAACAAUGUGUUACAUAUUUUCAUCAUCUGAUUCAUCUUCCUCUUUCAAAGAUUCCUUGGCGUAUUUUUCUGCUUCUUCCCUUAUGUCUUUGGGAACAAUUUCAUGUUUUCCAUUGGUUAUUUCUCCAACCCAGCUGAGUUCCAACUCAAAAGCUUUAUCCUUUACUUCGUCAUGAACGAUGUAGAUUAUUUUCGCAACCUCUUUGACAACGUCACGGCAAGUCAUUUCCUUCAUCUGAAGUUUUUCAAUCUCUGUCUUUGCAGCCUGCCUGGCUUUACCGAUGGCACACCCCCAAUAACCGUAUGAAACUCCUGACGGAUCAAUCAUGUACAGUUGUGCACCGUCGUCGUCAUCAUAGGACCCCAACAUGAAACUGCAACCAAAAGGUCUGACAGCGCUGUACAGUGUGUAUGCAUGCACGUACAUCGCCACUCUGUCUGCAAGAUGCUUCAGUGGAAUAUCAUAGCCAUAGUUAGUCCGGAAGUUAGAAGCUUCUUCUCUAGCUAUGUCUGCCAACGAACGAGCAUCUGCCAGCAGUCCUGCUACUGCCUGAAAGGAGAAUUGCCCAUCACACAGUCCAAGUGUGGCUUAUAAAAAGCUUAUGAACAAUAGUCUAACCACAAGGCUUAAUCAAGGUCUUUACAAGUGAGUUCCAUCAACUUUCUGCUAGCCGGCUUACAACGUCAAUGUGAUUAGAUACUAAUACAGUACUGAAUUUGUGAUUAGAUACUAAUACAGUACUGAAUUUUUCUCUAGGAAAAUUAAUAACCAAAGAAGUCUGAAAAGCUUCCAAGUACUUUUAGACAGCUUCAAAACACGGGCUUAUCUCUGCUUUAAGUUAGGAAUUCUGUGUGUGUGCAUGCAGUCAAGAAGAACUGCAAAAAAAUUGUCCAAAAAAAUUCCACUGGCACUUCUACGUACACAGAAACCUAACACAGCUUCCACAACCUUAUUAUUGAUUCUGAGCUCUGUGCAUUUCUGCUUUGGAGUAGGAAUUCCCCUUCGUGAGAAAUUAAACAGCACCUCACCAUUCCAACGUGCCGAUCGACGUUGAAGAGGCGUUUAUUGGAACCCUCUUCAUACAGCUUGGACAGAACGAGUUUUUCUACACCAAAGACAACGCCAUCUUUGCAUCUUAUGCCAAUUGCUGUACUGCUGUUCUCCACAGCCUUCAUCGCGUAUUCCACCUGAAACACUCUGCCAUCGGGAGAAAAGGUGGACGCCGAC